rnacentral:misc_RNA from 1 species
AACACUGUUAACCUGCGGUACCUGCGGAAGGAUCAUUACCGAGUUAUACAACUCAUCAACCCCUGUGAACUUACCUACAACGUUGCUUCGGCGGGAACAGACGGCCCCGUAAAACGGGCCGCCCCCGCCAGAGGACCCCUAACUCUGUUUUUAUAAUGUUUUUCUGAGUAAACAAGCAAAUAAAUUAAAACUUUCAACAACGGAUCU